rnacentral:rRNA from 1 species
GAUGAACGCUGGCGGCGUGCCUAAUACAUGCAAGUCGAGCGAACAGACGAGGAGCUUGCUCCUCUGACGUUAGCGGCGGACGGGUGAGUAACACGUGGAUAACCUACCUAUAAGACUGGGAUACCUUCGGGAAACCGGAGUUAUUACCGGAAAAUAUUUUAACCCCAUUGUUCAAUUGUGAAAAGAGGGUUUUCUUUUACCUUAUGAUUGGAUCCGCGCCGCAUAAGCUAGUUGGUAAGGUAACGGCUUACAAAGGCAACGAUGCGUAGCCGACCUGAGAGGGUGAUCGGCCACACUGGAACUGAGACACGGUCCAGACUCCUACGGGAGGCAGCAGUAGGGAAUCUUCCGCAAUGGGCGAAAGCCUGACGGAGCAACGCCGCGUGAGUGAUGAAGGUCUUCGGAUCGUAAAACUCUGUUAUUAGGGAAGAACAAAUGUGUAAGUAACUAUGCACGUCUUGACGGUACCUAAUCAGAAAGCCACGGCUAACUACGUG